UUUGCCAUUAGAUUACAAUUAUUUUUUUGGACUUCUCAUCACUUCUAAGAUUAAUUAGUAUGUAAACUAACCGAAAAUGACUGCAAGAAAGCUAUAAGUUAAACAUUUGGCAUAUUCUUGUGUUUAAGUUCAAUGAAUUUUGCAUGAUUAGUUCUCGUGGUUUAAAGGUUGUUAAUGUGGGUGUAACUCUUUUUACCUGCGAUUACAAUGAGCUGAGGGGAUAAGAUACCAAAUUAUUGCUCAUUCAAGAAAUGAUUUGUUAAAAAAUAGGAAAAUAAAGUCCUACGUAUGUCAUCCAUUUGCUAAAAGAAAAAUCAGACCCAUAAUAUCGGUCAAGUGAUGCGGUAUUUGAUCCGAUGUAAUAGUUAUUGUUCAAUAAUGAUUGUUUAUAAUCUAUUUUAAUAGCGGUCAGAGGUAAUAGAAAACAGGCUUUGUCCGUUUAGUUUACCUUAUGAAACAAUAACCCUUCAAAACAAUAUCAUUGAUAAGGUUGAACAUUAACAAUUAUCCAUAAAUGCGGAGCAUCUUUAGUAUUAAAAGUCAUAUCGUUUCUGCUGUGCAGAUCCGUUGAAGUUUGAAAUACGCUCAAAUCAAUUCAACUUGAAAUAUUACGUUAACAUAAAAUGGUUUACGCAGCCUUCGCAAGUACCCUGGGCUUGGUAGCUGUGGUAUAUGCUGUGGCUUUGACUUUUAAUAUAGUUUUUAGCAUUUUACCAAAAGCGGACACUCCGACUCUGAUACCACCACUUGAGAAAGACGAACCAGAAAUGAAGAUCCCUCGUAUUAGCCAAUAAGACAAAAACAUUUUUAUUAAAGGAAUUAUAAAACUUA